rnacentral:misc_RNA from 1 species
GAUGAAGAACGUAGCGAAAUGCGAUAAGUAUUGUGAAUUGCAGAAUUCAGUGAAUCAUCGAAUCUUUGAACGCACAUUGCGCCCCCUGGUAUUCCGGGGGGCAUGCCUGUUCGAGCGUCAUUUCACCACUCAAGCCUCGCUUGGUAUUGGGCAACGCGGUCCGCCGCGUGCCUCAAAUCGACCGGCUGGGUCUUCUGUCCCCUAAGCGUUGUGGAAACUAUUCGCUAAAGGGUGUUCGGGAGGCUACGCCGUAAAACAACCCCAUUUCUAAGGUUGACCUCGGAUCAGGUAGGGAUACCCGCUGAACUUAAGCAUAUCAAUAAGCGGAGGA